GACGAACGCUGGCGGCGUGCUUAACACAUGCAAGUCGAACGGAAAGGCCCUGCUUUUGUGGGGUGCUCGAGUGGCGAACGGGUGAGUAACACGUGAGUAACCUGCCCUUGACUUUGGGAUAACUUCAGGAAACUGGGGCUAAUACCGGAUAGGAGCUCCUGCUGCAUGGUGGGGGUUGGAAAGUUUCGGCGGUUGGGGAUGGACUCGCGGCUUAUCAGCUUGUUGGUGGGGUAGUGGCUUACCAAGGCUUUGACGGGUAGCCGGCCUGAGAGGGUGACCGGCCACAUUGGGACUGAGAUACGGCCCAGACUCCUACGGGAGGCAGCAGUGGGGAAUAUUGCACAAUGGGCGGAAGCCUGAUGCAGCAACGCCGCGUGCGGGAUGACGGCCUUCGGGUUGUAAACCGCUUUCGCCUGUGACGAAGCGUGAGUGACGGUAAUGGGUAAAGAAGCACCGGCUAACUACGUGCCAGCAGCCGCGGUGAUACGUANGGUGCGAGCGUUGUCCGGAUUUAUUGGGCGUAAGGGCUCGUAGGUGGUUGAUCGCGUCGGAAGUGUAAUCUUGGGGCUUAACCCUGAGCGUGCUUUCGAUACGGGUUGACUUGAGGAAGGUAGGGGAGAAUGGAAUUCCUGGUGGAGCGGUGGAAUGCGCAGAUAUCAGGAGGAACACCAGUGGCGAAGGCGGUUCUCUGGGCCUUUCCUGACGCUGAGGAGCGAAAGCGUGGGGAGCGAACAGGCUUAGAUACCCUGGUAGUCCACGCUGUAAACGGUGGGUACUAGGUGUGGGGUCCAUUCCACGGGUUCCGUGCCGUAGCUAACGCUUUAAGUACCCCGCCUGGGGAGUACGGCCGCAAGGCUAAAACUCAAAGGAAUUGACGGGGCCCCGCACAAGCGGCGGAGCAUGCGGAUUAAUUCGAUGCAACGCGUAGAACCUUACCUGGGUUUGACAUGGAUCGGGAGCGCUCAGAGAUGGGUGUGCCUCUUUUGGUGUCGGUUCACAGGUGGUGCAUGGCUGUCGUCAGCUCGUGUCGUGAGAUGUUGGGUUAAGUCCCGCAACGAGCGCAACCCUUGUUCACUGUUGCCAGCACGUUAUGGUGGGGACUCAGUGGAGACCGCCGGGGUCAACUCGGAGGAAGGUGGGGAUGACGUCAAGUCAUCAUGCCCCUUAUGUCCAGGGCUUCACGCAUGCUACAAUGGCUGGUACAGAGAGUGGCGAGCCUGUGAGGGUGAGCGAAUCUCGGAAAGCCGGUCUCAGUUCGGAUUGGGGUCUGCAACUCGACCUCAUGAAGUCGGAGUCGCUAGUAAUCGCAGAUCAGCAACGCUGCGGUGAAUACGUUCCCGGGGCU
rnacentral:rRNA from 1 species